CAGCAGCCACGGUAAUACGGAGGGAGCUAGCGUUGCUCGGAAUUACUGGGCGUAAAGCGCACGUAGGCGGUUAUUCAAGUCAGAGGUGAAAGCCCGGGGCUCAACCCCGGAACUGCCUUUGAAACUAGAUGACUGGAAUCUUGGAGAGGUCAGUGGAAUUCCGAGUGUAGAGGUGAAAUUCGUAGAUAUUCGGAAGAACACCAGUGGCGAAGGCGACUGACUGGACAAGUAUUGACGCUGAGGUACGAAAGCGUGGGGAGCAAACAGGAUUAGAGACCCCAGUAGUCCCUGUCUCUUAUAC
rnacentral:rRNA from 1 species